ACUUUGUAAUCUUAAUUUUUUUUAAUUUGCAUGGCAGCCAUUUUGAAAGUCGCCAUCUUGGUAUUUUUGUAUUUGUUGAUGCAGA